rnacentral:rRNA from 1 species
GCAGAGCAUCCUACGGGAGGCAGCAGUGGGGAAUAUGCACAAUGGGCGCAAGCCUGAUGCAGCCAUGCCGCGUGUAUGAAGAAGGCCUUCGGGUUGUAAAGUACUUUCAGCAGUGAGGAAGGUGGGUAUGUUAAUAGCAUAUUCAUUUGACGUUAGCUGCAGAAGAAGCACCGGCUAACUCCGUGCCAGCAGCCGCGGUAAUACGGAGGGUGCGAGCGUUAAUCGGAAUUACUGGGCGUAAAGCGCAUGCAGGUGGUUUGUUAAGUCAGAUGUGAAAGCCCGGGGCUCAACCUCGGAAUUGCAUUUGAAACUGGCAAACUAGAGUACUGUAGAGGGGGUAGAAUUUCAGGUGUAGCGGUGAAAUGCGUAGAGAUCUGAAGGAAUACCCGGUGGCGAAGGCGGCCCCCUGGACAGAUACUGACACUCAGAUGCGAAAGCGUGGGGAGCAAACAGGAUUAGAUACCCUGGCAG